rnacentral:rRNA from 1 species
UACGAAGGGGGCUAGCGUUGCUCGGAAUCACUGGGCGUAAAGGGUGCGUAGGCGGGUCUUUAAGUCAGGGGGGAAAUCCUGGAGCUCAACUCCAGAACUGCCUUUGAUACUGAGGAUCUUGAGUCCGGGAGAGGUGAGUGGAACUGCGAGUGUAGAGGUGAAAUUCGUAGAUAUUCGCAAGAACACCAGUGGCGAAGGCGGCUCACUGGCCCGGUACUGACGCUGAGGCACGAAAGCGUGGGGAUCAAACAGG